rnacentral:rRNA from 1 species
AUGGAGCUCCAGACGCGGCUCCGACAGCAGAUCCGGCGGCGGAAGGGACCCGGAGCGCGAGCGGCGCGUCCGGUCGGACGGCGCGAGGAAGCGCGGGGCCAGGAAGUGGACCAACCGCGGCCUCUUGCCGCCGGCGAGCUUCCAGCGGAUGAGACGGAGGAGUACGACCGCCGGCGCGCGUCCUUCUCCUCCGCGAGGUCUUCGUACGCCGGGAGCUCCUCCUCCUCCGGCGCGGGCCUUCUCCCCGUGAAGAGGGAGUGGUCGGAGGACGAGGAGGAGCCGGACGAGUCCGCCUUCGUCCACGUGAAGGAGGAGCCUGAGGAGCCCGCUCCGCUCGGCCGCCGCGGAGUCGUCGGGCCGGAAGACUACGUCGACGCCGUUGCGGCCACCAUCGCCGAGCGGAGCGUGCGCGAGGAGGCGGAGCGCCGGCGCCACGCCGAGGAGCUCGAAGACCUCCGGUGGCGGCAGGCGGUCGCCGCCAACCUCGCCACCAAGGAGAAGGCCGAGGAGUGGCAUCGAUUCGCGCGGAGCAGGCGGCGAAGUACGUCGACCUGUGCAGCUCCGGCGAGGAGGAUUGAGCGUCCUUCCUCCUCCACGGCGUCGUCCAUUUGCCGCGACCUCGCCGCCGUCAGAUCCGACCCCUCUAGUACUAGUUUAACGUAG